CUGCUACUGAAGCUUCUCAUGACUUGGAGAGAACCUCUGGAAAGGUAAAUCGUUAAACACCACCAAGCCAUUAACAUAUGGGGUCUCAGCUCUACGGGGCCCUUGCCCUUGAACAACUAAAUGUUUUAUUGAAGAUGAAGUAUACCUGCAUGAAAAAGCUUUCUAUAUGGACACUGUUACAUUUGGAAUAAGGUAAAGAAAAAAUUUAUUUCCAUUCAACCUAUAUUUCAACAGCUAUUUUGUUCAUUGAAUAGGAAUAAAACCUGUAUCACAUACA
rnacentral:lncRNA from 1 species